rnacentral:rRNA from 1 species
AGCGCAGGCGGACCGGCAAGUUGGAAGUGAAAACUAUGGGCUCAACCCAUAAAUUGCUUUCAAAACUGCUGGCCUUGAGUAGUGCAGAGGUAGGUGGAAUUCCCGGUGUAGCGGUGGAAUGCGUAGAUAUCGGGAGGAACACCAGUGGCGAAGGCGACUUUCUGGACUGUAACUGACACUGAGGCUCGAAAGCCAGGGUAGUGAACG